rnacentral:rRNA from 1 species
UACGUAGGGUGCGAGCGUUUAAUCGGAAUUACUGGGCGUAAAGCGUGCGCAGGCGGUUUGUUAAGACAGAUGUGAAAUCCCCGGGCUUAACCUGGGAACUGCAUUUGUGACUGGCAAGCUAGAGUAUGGCAGAGGGGGGGUAGAAUUCUACGUGUAGCAGUGAAAUGCGUAGAGAUGUGGAGGAAUACCGAUGGCGAAGGCAGCCCCCCUGGGCCAAUACUGACGCUCAUGCACGAAAGCGUGGGGAGCAAACAGG